AUGGUAAAUGCUAUGAAAGAUGGAUGAAACUAGACUCAAAAUCAUAUAUAUGAAAGUUGGCCAACUCUCUCCAUAUGAUUGACACAUCAUCACUUUAACAUUUGCCAUGUGUCCACUGAAUAAUUAAUGUAAGCUCUUCAACUUUUAAUUUAUAGAUUAAUGAUGUAUUUAUU
rnacentral:sRNA from 1 species